rnacentral:tRNA from 1 species
GGGGAUGUAGCUCUUUGGUAGACCAUAUGCUUUGUAUACAUGAGGUCCAAGCUUCGAUCCCUGGCAUCUCCG